UCUUGACAUGGAGAUUCAGCAGUGCUUGGU
rnacentral:piRNA from 1 species